CUUUCGAUGUCGACGGGAGGAAACUGUCACGCAGGCCACCAACCGGCGGUGGAGGGCGCGGUGCCGAGUCCUGCCACUGCAGGGUCGCCCCGCUGGCUCAAGCUCUAGAAGCGUAGACCUCCCCAGCCGCAAAAAGCAACUCACGCGGCGAAACCGCGGACUCUUUUGACCCUUCCGAGCUACCAUUUACUUUCCAUAGAGGGGCGGGACUUCCUGUUUCGCUUUUAUCUUGUCUCGCUCUUCCGCCCAGUCUCGAGUGCAGUGGUGAGAACACGGCUUACUGCAGCCUCAAAAUCCUGGACCCAAAAGAUCCUCCCACCUCAGCCUGCCUCCCAGGUAGCUGGGACUACAGGCGCACAACACCAUCGCUUCUUGGAUUAAAAGAAAAGGAUGAAACGGGCCCCAGAAAGAGGCGGUGACGUCCCAGAACCCAUGGCAGGGGAGUUGGGAAAAUAAAUAUUUGUAUUGUUUUA
rnacentral:lncRNA from 1 species